rnacentral:tRNA from 1 species
UGUUCUGUAGCUUAGUUGGUUAAAGCGCCGGUCUAGCGUACACGGAGUCGAGAGUUCGAGUCUCACUAGAACGC